GUCACUGGCUGGGGGCCUCCAGGGAGAGGGAUGGUCAGCUUUAGGGGCUGGGGGCUGAUGUGAGGACCGGGUGCUCUUGGUGGCUGCAAAUGUCCCUGGUCAUGUGGCCUUGCAGGCCAGCAAGUGGCUAUCCAUGGCCCUACCAGGAGGCUGUGUAACUUCGUUCAUUCAUUCAUUCAUUCAUUGAACAGCUGUAUCCCGGGAUCUCUGAUGUGCCAGGCACCAUCCACUGUCCCAGGCGCUCCAUUCUAUCUCCGUAUCCCUGGAACACAGCCCAGUCAUCCCUGCUCACUUGCAGUCCCUGAUGUCAGCAUGCUGAUGGAGGGGAAAGCUGUGAUUUGGCAUUAUUCAACCUCGUCAUCACCUAGAAUCUUCCGUCAAUUGCUGUGCCAAGGUCAGGUGGGAAGCCACGCUGACGCUGAUGCUGCAUGGGGCCCUGGCCUCCUGUGCAGGAGACAAAAAUCUCAGUGGUCUGCUCCCAAAGCCACAGCAGCAGAAACCCCAGGGAGACGAGCUGCGGAACUUCCCCGAGCUGCCGCCAGCCUGGGGAGAGAGCCCUUGCUGCGCUCCCUCUCAUUAAGAUUAUUUCCUCUCCUUCCUUUAAUACUUGCUUCAAAUACUCGUGCCGGGGCUGCUCAUAACAGAAUUUGCAAGGUGGGGAGACUUGAAGCUGUCCUCUUUGGGGAAAAUGGCCUGGCCUCUUCAUGCCCGGCAGCCCCCCAGCUCCC
rnacentral:lncRNA from 1 species